UGAGCAAUCUGCCCUUCUCUUUGGAAUAAGCGUUGGAAACGACGUCUAAUGCCGAAUACGACCUCCUUUCGCAUGAUCGGAGGUGGAAAGCUCCGGCGGAGAAGGAUGAGCUCGCGGCCUAUCAGCUAGUUGGUGUGGGUAACGGCCCACCAAGGCGACGACGGGUAGCCGGCCUGAGAGGGUGACCGGCCACACUGGGACUGAGACACGGCCCAGACUCCUACGGGAGNAGCG
rnacentral:rRNA from 1 species